CUACGGGUCGCUCCAGUGGGGAAUAUUGCACAAUGGGGGAAACCCUGAUGCAGCAACGCCGCGUGGAGGAUGACACAUUUCGGUGCGUAAACUCCUUUUAUAUAAGAAGAUAAUGACGGUAUUAUAUGAAUAAGCACCGGCUAACUCCGUGCCAGCAGCCGCGGUAAUACGGGGGGUGCAAGCGUUACUCGGAAUCACUGGGCGUAAAGAGCAUGUAGGCUGGUUUGUAAGUUGGAAGUGAAAUCCUAUGGCUUAACCAUAGAACUGCUUCCAAAACUACUUACCUAGAAUAUGGGAGAGGUAGAUGGAAUUUCUGGUGUAGGGGUAAAAUCCGUAGAGAUCAGAAGGAAUACCGAUUGCGAAGGCGAUCUACUGGAACAUUAUUGACGCUCAGAUGCGAAAGCGUGGGGAGCAAACAGGAUUAGAUACCCGCGUAGUC
rnacentral:rRNA from 1 species